rnacentral:rRNA from 1 species
UACGUAGGGUGCGAGCGUUAUCCGGAUUUACUGGGCGUAAAGGGGGCGUAGGCGGCCUGGAAAGUCCGGUGUGAAAACUCACGGCUCAACCGUGGGGCUGCACUGGAAACUACACGGCUUGAGGACGGGAGAGGGAGACGGAACUGCUGGUGUAGGGGUGAAAUCCGUAGAUAUCAGCAGGAACGCCGGUGGAGAAGUCGGUCUCCUGGGCCGUUCCUGACGCUGAGGCCCGAAAGCUAGGGGAGCAAACAGG